CACACACCUCGCCCCUUCUCCCUGGGCUCGCUCUCCGGACCCUAACCCCUUCCCGAGCGAGGCCGAGCAACGCUCUCAGCAGCUGAACUAAGACUCCGGAGGCCGCACGUCCCCCUCAGCAGGCCCCGCCUGGGCCUCUCGGCUCGGCUGCCCUCCAUUGCACCCCUGGCCCAACCGUGCUGACGCGGAAGGGUGGGGCAGCACGAGCUCAAGGCCCGGCACUUACUCGGGAACAUCGUUACCCGAGCCCAGCGCCGGGCCAAUGUCCUAUCUCAGGGUUUCCCACGUCGCUCGCUCCUUGACGGCUGACCGACACUGGGUCUGAGGUGUAAGCGCUUUCCAGGCCCUUCCCUGGGGCUUGGAGGGGAAUGGCGCAAAGGACUUUUCUUACAAGCAGAAGUCUGUGAUGCCCUUCAUUGUAAACAUUUCUUGUGAGCCGCAUCCUACUAAUCUUGUGGCAUUGGUUUGCUCGGGAAUGACGUUCACCCACAGACCUGAAAAGUCCUUACAGAGUUGGGAAGCUGCGUGUCAUCAUUUUUUCAGUUGGCAAAUCUGCCCACUUUGAACUGACAUAAUUGUAGCCUAAAAGUUCAGAGAGAGAGUAGUUCAGGAAAAAGACUAUUCCUUCUUCUUAGAGGGAACAGCAGCCCUGAAAACUAUGUGGACAUCAUACCAGCUUCUUACAACAAAAGGUGCACUUGGUCUAAAUUAUCUGGCAGCUCUAGAUAACGUUCUCAUCAAGUACCUGUUUGUUGUAGUUAUGCAUAUUUAUUCCUUGGCUUAGCCACUGCAGUUACCAAAGAGUAUGUCGCUUAUUGUCUAAGAGGUUGGACUCCUGAAAGCCUGGACAGUGUCAUCAUCUUCACCUGAAGAGUGGAAAAAUUCAAGCAAAGAGUUUCUCAGGAAAUGACCAGGUAAAACAUCUGGAGUAAGUCAGCAGGAUUCACAGUGACUCCCCCCAACCAGCUGGUGGUGUUUCUCUCUGAAAGCAGCGCUUGGUACCAGUGUGAACUCUCUUCCUUCAGAAGUCUCAUCAGGUGUUUCAGAUGAGUUCUCCGGAAUUUGGACCUCCUACUCUUGGGUUGAAGGUGGACGUAAUACGAGGGUCUGGUCCCCCAUACCUUGAGGACUCCGCUGCCAUCUGACAAUUACAGACAAUCCAAUUGUCCUCAUCCUUGAGGACUCUGCUGCCAUCUGACAAUUAGAGACAGUCCAAAACAUGCCACACUUUGAUCCUAAACACAUUCCUGGCUUUGGUCACUUUUGAAAAGUUCCUGAGUUAUGAGAAAUCAAUAAUAAGAGUGUUCAAAACCUGAACACUCUUUUUAGAAAUACCUGCUGGAACUACAUAUAUGAUUUAUGGGGUACUGUCUUGUAGUAUCUGGGAAAGUAGACCCAUCUAACCUGGAAUGAUCAUAGGCAACAAUGACCAAAAAUGGGGAUCUUUUGAUAUACCUAAAGUAAUUUAUUUGUGCACACCAUUGGAAAGAGCUGGUUUUAGAACCAGACAUGUAAAUAAGAGACUGACUUCCACUGGCACCUAAAAACUUCUAAAAGAAAUCCUGAAAGAAAAAGUCACCUUCAUUCAAGAGGAAAUUCAUAGAAUAGGACCCUGACAAGUACUCUUGAAUACAGGUUUCUGAUAACUUUGGAGAUCAUAUCAUUGGACUAAGUAACAACUUUCAGGAUAUAAUUGGAGACACUUGUUAUUUUACUAAGGAUUUGACUGGAAUGACAUAUUUUCAGAUAUGACCAGACUGCUUUGAAGAAUGGAGGUUGACUCUAUAGAGGCAAUUAGAAAGCCUCUUGGAAAGACUGGCCUGGUCCCUUGUCUACGUAGUUCCCUUUCAAGAUUUCUGUCCUGUGUUAAGUAAAGAAUGUCACUUUCUGACAGGCCUGGGAACCUCAAAAUAUUUCCGCUGUGUAUCUCUCAUUGUUUUAUUUCUUCUGAGAAAACUAAAUUCAUGGUACACUGAAGAGGUGAUUCCACAAGUGAUGGCAGCUAUAAAUCAAUGACUGGUAGGACUACCUGGGCAUGAGCCUUUCUGGCAAUGAGGGAUACCUUGACACUCAGAUUUUGAUCAUCAGUGCUUUCAAAAGGAAAGAUUUUUGAUCAAAAGGAAGAAAUGAGAAAAAGAACUUUUAUCUGAAGAAUGCAAGUCCUUUCCAAUUAUCAGAUCCAGAGAGGUAUUAAAAUGAGACGGCAAUCCUGUCCUACACACACCCCCUUUUGAGGCAUGUACUCAUCUUUUUAUACUGCUUACUAUUGCCACAAGUAGCUGAAAAUUAGCCUACUGGUGCUGCACCAGACAUUAUAACCCAUAUCCUAUAGCUUAAUAAUGGAUAGCCAAUCAACAGCUUAUGUUAUGUUAAUGUAAAUUAUUGGUAAAUAACUCAGGAACUGCCUCUUCUUUCCUUUUAAAAACCCACUUGUGGGCCGGGCGUGGUGGCUCACGCCUGUAAUCCCAGCAUUUUGGGAGGCCAAGGUGGGCGGAUCACAAGGUGAGGAGAUCAAGACCAUCCUGGAUAACACAGUGAAACCCUGUCUCUACUAAAAAUACAAAAAAUUAGCCGGGCGUGGUGGCGGGCACCUGUAGUCCCAGCUACUCGGGAGGCUGAGGCAGGAGAAAGGCGUGAACCCAGGAAGCAGAGCUUGCAGUGAGCUGACAUGGCACCACUGCACUCCAGCCCGGGCAACAGUGCGAGGCCCUGUCU
rnacentral:lncRNA from 1 species